rnacentral:rRNA from 1 species
AAAGGCGCGCGAUACAGGGUGACAGCCCCGUACACAAAAAUGCACAUGCUGUGAGCUCGAUGAGUAGGGCGGGACACGUGGUAUCCUGUCUGAAUAUGGGGGGACCAUCCUCCAAGGCUAAAUACUCCUGACUGACCGAUAGUGAACCAGUACCGUGAGGGAAAGGCGAAAAGAACCCCGGCGAGGGGAGUGAAAAAGAACCUGAAACCGUGUACGUACAAGCAGUGGGAGCACGCUUAGGCGUGUGACUGCGUACCUUUUGUAUAAUGGGUCAGCGACUUAUAUUCUGUAGCAAGGUUAACCGAAUAGGGGAGCCGAAGGGAAACCGAGUCUUAACUGGGCGUUAAGUUGCAGGGUAUAGACCCGAAACCCGGUGAUCUAGCCAUGGGCAGGUUGAAGGUUGGGUAACACUAACUGGAGGACCGAACCGACUAAUGUUGAAAAAUUAGCGGAUGACUUGUGGCUGGGGGUGAAAGGCCAAUCAAACCGGGAGAUAGCUGGUUCUCCCCGAAAGCUAUUUAGGUAGCGCCUCGUGAAUUCAUCUCCGGGGGUAGAGCACUGUUUCGGCAAGGGGGUCAUCCCGACUUACCAACCCGAUGCAAACUGCGAAUACCGGAGAAUGUUAUCACGGGAGACACACGGCGGGUGCUAACGUCCGUCGUGAAGAGGGAAACAACCCAGACCGCCAGCUAAGGUCCCAAAGUCAUGGUUAAGUGGGAAACGAUGUGGGAAGGCCCAGACAGCCAGGAUGUUGGCUUAGAAGCAGCCAUCAUUUAAAGAAAGCGUAAUAGCUCACUGGUCGAGUCGGCCUGCGCGGAAGAUGUAACGGGGCUAAACCAUGCACCGAAGCUGCGGCAGCGACGCUUAUGCGUUGUUGGGUAGGGGAGCGUUCUGUAAGCCUGUGAAGGUGUGCUGUGAGGCAUGCUGGAGGUAUCAGAAGUGCGAAUGCUGACAUAAGUAACGAUAAAGCGGGUGAAAAGCCCGCUCGCCGGAAGACCAAGGGUUCCUGUCCAACGUUAAUCGGGGCAGGGUGAGUCGACCCCUAAGGCGAGGCCGAAAGGCGUAGUCGAUGGGAAACAGGUUAAUAUUCCUGUACUUGGUGUUACUGCGAAGGGGGGACGGAGAAGGCUAUGUUGGCCGGGCGACGGUUGUCCCGGUUUAAGCGUGUAGGCUGGUUUUCCAGGCAAAUCCGGAAAAUCAAGGCUGAGGCGUGAUGA